AAAUGCUCACUCAGUUUGCAUUAGACUGCCUACGAGAACAGACGUCAUUUAUCUGCCGAUUCGCUCAAAACCAGAGCACAGGGGUUUGUAUAUGACACCGAGACACCGUUGUGUCCUCUAAUCUUCUCACGAUCUGAACCAGAGUUUGUCAUUUUUUAUAAAGAUAACAAAGAAAAAUGAAGAUCUUAAGUAACUUAACGAGUAAGCCAAGUGAAGUAAAUGCCGAAGAAGGUAUUUUUCAGAUUUCUCGACGACUGGAGGCUGUAGAUGAAGAAAACUGCUGGGCCAGCUGUGCCUGGCAGUUGAUCAAGCUCUCCGGAGCAAUCGUUGUCGUCACAUUGGUUGGAUUUGUCAUACCUUUUUUGAUGUUUGCCGCUUUUCAACAAAUAUGAUGGGACGUUAAAAUAAAAUGUAAAUUUAAUACACCUGUAAAUAUUAAUUGGAAUAAACCAAAUGUAAAUCUUAA